CGGGUAAUUCCGGGCAGGAGGCGGGGGUAAUACGGAGGGUGCAAGCGUUAGUCGGAAUUACUGGGCGUAAAGGGCGUGUAGGCGGGAAUAGAAGUCAGACGUGAAAGUCCGGGGCUCAACCUCGGGGCUGCAUCUGAAACUAUAUUCCUUGAGGAAAGGCGGAGAAAACGGAAUUCCACAUGUAGCGGUGAAAUGCGUAGAUAUGUGGAGGAACACCUGUGGCGAAAGCGGUUUUCUAGCUUAAUCCUGACGCUGAGGCGCGAAAGCAAGGGGAGCAAACAGGAUUAGAUACCCUGUAGUC
rnacentral:rRNA from 1 species